AGUCAUAUGCUUGUCUCAAAGAUUAAGCGAUG
rnacentral:rRNA from 1 species